rnacentral:rRNA from 1 species
CCUACGGGUGGCAGCAGUGAGGAAUAUUGGUCAAUGGGCGAGAGCCUGAACCAGCCAAGUCGCGUGAGGGAAGACGGUCCUAUGGAUUGUAAACCUCUUUUGCCGGGGAGCAAAAAGCGGUACGUGUACCGCAUAGAGAGUACCCGGAGAAAAAGCACCGGCUAACUCCGUGCCAGCAGCCGCGGUAAUACGGAGGGUGCGAGCGUUAAUCGGAAUUACUGGGCGUAAAGCGCUCGUAGGCGGUAUGUCAAGUCAAGGGUGAAAUCCCCGCGCUCAACGUGGGAACUGGCUUUGAAACUGGCAAACUGGAGUGUGUGGGAGGAUAGUGGAAUGCCAGGUGUAGGAGUGAAAUCCGUAGAUAUCUGGAGGAACAUCAGUGGCGAAGGCGACUAUCUGGCACAUAACUGACGCUGAGGAGCGAAAGCGUGGGUAGCAAACAGGAUUAGAUACCCGGUAGUC